rnacentral:rRNA from 1 species
CACAUGCAGUCGAACGAGCGAGAGAGAGCUUGCUUUCUCGAGCGAGUGGCGAACGGGUGAGUAACGCGUGAGGAACCUGCCUCAAAGAGGGGGACAACAGUUGGAAACGACUGCUAAUACCGCAUAAGCCCACGGCUCGGCAUCGAGCAGAGGGAAAAGGAGCAAUCCGCUUUGAGAUGGCCUCGCGUCCGAUUAGCUAGUUGGUGAGGUAACGGCCCACCAAGGCGACGAUCGGUAGCCGGACUGAGAGGUUGAACGGCCACAUUGGGACUGAGACACGGCCCAGACUCCUACGGGAGGCAGCAGUGGGGAAUAUUGCACAAUGGGGGAAACCCUGAUGCAGCGACGCCGCGUGGAGGAAGAAGGUCUUCGGAUUGUAAACUCCUGUUGUUGGGGAAGAUAAUGACGGUACCCAACAAGGAAGUGACGGCUAACUACGUGCCAGCAGCCGCGGUAAAACGUAGGUCACAAGCGUUGUCCGGAAUUACUGGGUGUAAAGGGAGCGCAGGCGGGAAGACAAGUUGGAAGUGAAAUCUAUGGGCUCAACCCAUAAACUGCUUUCAAAACUGUUUUUCUUGAGUAGUGCAGAGGUAGGCGGAAUUCCCGGUGUAGCGGUGGAAUGCGUAGAUAUCGGGAGGAACACCAGUGGCGAAGGCGGCCUACUGGGCACCAACUGACGCUGAGGCUCGAAAGUGUGGGUAGCAAACAGGAUUAGAUACCCUGGUAGUCCACACCGUAAACGAUGAUUACUAGGUGUUGGAGGAUUGACCCCUUCAGUGCCGCAGUUAACACAAUAAGUAAUCCACCUGGGGAGUACGACCGCAAGGUUGAAACUCAAAGGAAUUGACGGGGGCCCGCACAAGCAGUGGAGUAUGUGG